GCCAGGGCUUUGCCCACUCAUCCCCGUGCGGGAGAGACUGGCAGCAGGACACAGGGGCAAAAGCAGCCGUCGGCUGUGAUGACAGGCACGCGGUGCUGAGUCUCCUGCGCCCAGGUCCUACUGUGGGCUCCUUUCAUGGGAACUCCUCUGGGAAACGGCACCUCUGUUUGCCCUUUGCUGAGAGCAUCUCCUCCUUGGCAGGCCCUCGGCACUGAAGACACUCGGAUUCCCCACCCUCCAGCCCAGCCCAGGAGAAGGGAGGUCAACUGCAGGUGGAGGAAGGCUGAAAAUCUUCUCCCAGCAGAGGAGAGGGCAGUAGCAGCCCAGCUGGAGAGACUGCGACUAGACCACCUUUCCCCACGAGCUGCUCAGGUCCUCAGAAAGCUGGAGCCGCACCAGACACAGAGGAGCAUCUACAAGCACGUGGCUGAGCAGCAGAGGCAGCGUCGAGAGCAGCAGGGGCAGCGCCCCUGGUAAGCGUCUCCAAAAAGGGAUGGUGGCGCCCCUGGCUGCGGGGUCCCUUCCUCCACUGAGGGCAGUCCUGGGGCAAAGAGGGCAUUUGUCUGACAGCCCUCGUGAGACAGAAGCAGGUUUUGGAGGCUGGCUUUGGGUUGGACCUCCCUGACACCCAGAGGGGCUGCCUGGGCACCCAGAACUGGCUUUCCAUGGGGGAUGUAGAAGUCCUGGCUGAAGGCAGAGGGAUCCCUCUGACGGAGGGUGCUCUCCUUUCCAAACCAGAGAGCGUGUCCUUCCCUUGCAGAGUCCUGCCCCAAGACACCCUGCCCCCAGGGGGGACACCCAAGGUCUCAGCCCCACCAGACUCAGCCCCAGGCUGACCAGCUGCACCCAGGACCUUCUCAUGGGCCUGGGCAUCAGGGGCCUCUCCCCCUUCACAGACACCUCAUGGCAAGCAGAUCCCAACACAGGUGGCCUAAGCUACGCCUGCAGGAAUUCUCUGCCUUCUCCCUGUCCAUACGAUCAGACCCUUCUCUUUCUUCCUCCCCAGCACUAGAUGCUGGAACCACAGCAGAGGAGAAGGUGCUGGGAGCGGCGGCUGUGGCAGUAGCUGUUAGCCAAUGGCGGGGAGGCCUCUCACCUGCAGACACACGCCUAUAAAUACAAAAUAAAGAGCUCUGGGGCUGUUCCCA
rnacentral:lncRNA from 1 species